AGCGAACGCUGGCGGCAUGCCUAACACAUGCAAGUCGAACGAACCUUUCGGGGUUAGUGGCGGACGGGUGCGUAACACGUGGGAACGUGCCUUUAGGUUCGGAAUAACUCAGGGAAACUUGUGCUAAUACCGAAUGUUCCCUUCGGGGGAAAGAUUAAUCGCCUUUAGAUCGGCCCGCGUCUGAUUAGCUAGUUGGUUGAGGUAAUGGCUCACCAAGGCGACGAUCAGUAGCUGGUCUGAGAGGAUGAUCAGCCACAUUGGGACUGAGACACGGCCCAGACUCCUACGGGAGGCAGCAGUGGGGAAUAUUGCGCAAUGGGCGAAAGCCUGACGCAGCCAUGCCGCGUGAAUGAUGAAGGUCUUAGGAUUGUAAAAUUCUUUCACCGGGGACGAUAAUGACGGUACCCGGAGAAGAAGCCCCGGCUAACUUCGUG
rnacentral:rRNA from 1 species